rnacentral:misc_RNA from 1 species
GCAAAACACAAAAUCUUACGUGUCAUCAAACUCAUCGAAAAGAUUACAUGUCAUAUAAUCAUAUUUAGUAAAAUCUUCAUACAUGGGAACAGAUUUUAGAUUUUAAGAUGGUGCUGAAGCAACCAACAUCUCGUGAAAUCCUUUGUUAUGCUCUAACAAUUUGUCUUUGGGCGGUGUACACUCUUUCAGAAUGGGAGCAGCUUCAAGGACAUUCUGAAACCAUGAAACAAGUGAAGGCAUUUCCUCGGCAUCAAUAAGUCUGAUAUCCACAACCUCCUCAACAAUCUGAGCCCAGCAGAUGAUCCAAGCAGACGUGACAUCCAUGAAGCCAAUUUUUGCAUCUCCAAAAAAGUGCUUCUUGCCUAGUUCAUCCUCUAAAAUUUUCAAGUUCUCACGAGCUUCUUUUGCUAUCUUCUGUUGCUCCACUCCGACCUUGGCAAAGGUACCAAAUAUUCCUGGCACACACUUGUCAUCAACAAAUUUUGCCCAAAAACGCGCCUUGGCUCUUUCAUAAGGAUCUUCAGGGAGGAGUGGAUUGUGCUUCCAUGUCUCUUCAAUGUAUUCAAGUAUGACUAGUGAUUCUGCAAUAGGUUUCCCAUUAUGAACCAAAACCGGAAUCUUCUUAUGAACUGGAUUGUACUGCAAGAGCAAAGGACUUUUGUUUGAGAGAUCUUCUUCUUGGUAUUCAUAUUCAAUACCUUUCAGUUUCAGUGCCCAAUGAACCUUCAGAGCAAAAGGGCUUGCCCAGUAUCCAAGCAAUUUCACUUUCUCACUUGCCAUUGCUGAUUCUUGCUUUGUAGAGGGUACUCAAUCUCUUUUGUUAUAUAGUGGUACAAUUCUUGCUGUGUAGGCCAAAGUGGGCCUUAAGUCUGUUGCCAAAUGUUGGCAUAUUACAAGUCUUAGAGAUAAUCAAGUGUGAAAUAAUGAAUGUUUAGUUGUCUACCAAUAGUUUCUUAGAAGGUAUUUUAGUACUUUCGUGUCAACAUAAACUAUCAAGAUGAUUGGUUCUUUUGACUUUUCAAUGCUAAU